rnacentral:tmRNA from 1 species
GGGGAUGUUUUGGGAUUCGACAGGCGUAGAUUUGCGCCGAUUGCGAUUCGUAGGUUACGUCUACGUAAAAACGUUAAACAGUUUAAAUUAACUGCAAACGAAAACUCAUACGCUGUAGCUGCUUAGUUCAGCCCAGCUGCCAAUAGGUUGCCGGCCCGUGGCGACCUUGCGGUAUCAACUUUACGGGAUACGCUUGGCUAUCACGUCUGAAUAGUCAAGAAGAGAUCAUCAGGCUAGCCGUUGCUAGUUUGCCCUGUUAUAUGGCGUUUGGGAGCGGUGAAGUUCAAGUAAUAUAACUAUGAUCGUAGAGAUUGGUGACAAAAUGCGUUUGGACAGGGGUUCAAUUCCCCUCAUCUCCACUA